GGGGGUAUGGCGGAAUUGGUAGACGCGCCAGACUCAAAAUCUGGUGACUUCGGUCGUCUCGGUUCGACUCCGAGUAUCCCCACCA
rnacentral:tRNA from 1 species